rnacentral:rRNA from 1 species
UUCCGGUUGAUCCUGCCGGAGGCCAUUGCUAUCGGUGUCCGAUUUAGCCAUGCGAGUUGUACGUCUAACGUAGCAAACCGCUCAGUAACACGUGGCCAAACUACCCUACGGACCGGAAUAACCUCGGGAAACUGAGGCUAAUUCCGGAUAGUGCUCCCGAGCUGGAAUGCUGGGAGCGCCAAACGCUCCGGCGCCGUAGGAUGUGGCUGCGGCCGAUUAGGUAGAUGGUGGGGUAACGGCCCACCAUGCCGAUAAUCGGUACGGGUAGUGAGAGCUAGAACCCGGAGACGGACUCUGAGACAAGAGUCCGGGCCCUACGGGGCGCAGCAGGCGCGAAACCUUUACACUGCACGCAAGUGCGAUAGGGGGACACCGAGUGCGAGGGCAUAGAGCCCUCGCUUUUCUGUACCGUAAGGCGGUACAGGAACAAGGGCUGGGCAAGACCGGUGCCAGCCGCCGCGGUAACACCGGCAGCCCAAGUGAUGGCCGAUAUUAUUGGGCCUAAAGCGUCCGUAGCUUGCCGAGUAAGUUUGUCGGGAAAUCUACUGGCUUAACCAGUAGGCGUCCGGCGAAAACUGCUCGGCUUGGGACCGGGAGACCAGAGGGGUACGUCCGGGGUAGGAGUGAAAUCCUGUAAUCCUGGACGGACCACCGGUGGCGAAAGCGCCUCUGGAGAACGGAUCCGACAGUGAGGGACGAAAGCUAGGGUCUCGAACCGGAUUAGAUACCCGGGUAGUCCUAGCUGUAAACGAUGCUCGCUAGGUGUGGCGCAGGCUACGAGCCUGCGCUGUGCCGUAGGGAAGCCGUGAAGCGAGCCGCCUGGGAAGUACGUCUGCAAGGAUGAAACUUAAAGGAAUUGGCGGGGGAGCACUACAACCGGAGGAGCCUGCGGUUUAAUUGGACUCAACGCCGGA